CAUCACUAAAAAUAACCGCUUCAACCAAACCUAUUCUUUCACAUUCCGUCUCUUUAUUACUCAAUAACGCUUCAAUCAAACCUCAAAAGAUUAAUUGACAUCACAUAGAACCUCUGUGUAUCUCUGCACCCCUAACACCACAUGGUGUGGGCGUGGAUCUGUGGCGUUUAUGCUUCUCCACGUCGCGCAUACCACACCGUCGUCGGCAUUAUCAACGGCGUUUACGGACGGGCUUGGAAUUCUCCAUCGGCGUUGAGACUUUAAGUUGGUCGACGUGGUAUGUUGUGAAUGAGGUGGCAUGUGGUAUGUAUAUGUGUUCGAAUAGGAUUUUUUUCAGGGUACUAUAUAAAUCUAGCAAUAGUGUAGGAUUUCGUUGUUAUAUCUCAUUUGUUUAUCAA